UCUCCCAUCUUUAGAACACAGCUUUCCUAGCCCCAUAUCCCUUAAGCGGCUGCUCAAGUUUUCUUGAUAACCAGUCCCCCAAUUCUUCUCCGAUCCUUCCUCUUGUAACUGCUCUGAAGUCUACUGCUGCAGAGUGCCCUAAUCACAAGCCUGUGGUUCCAUCCAUUUUUACCCAGUGAACACACUUAUGGAAAAGCACUUAGUCCACAGCGCAGAAAAUGCCUAGCACCUUGGAAGCCCCCUGCACCCCCUUCCAGUGUUACCCUCCCAGGAGCAUCAGGAUCCUGCCUUCCAAAAACUGCAAGGAGCUUUGCUUGUUUCUGAACUUCCAUAAAUGAAAUCUGACAAAAUGUACUUUUGUGUGUCUGGAUUCUUCAACUCAAUGUUAGGUCUGUGCCGUUCACUCAUACCAUUUUGAGUAGCUGUAGUCUGUUCAUUC
rnacentral:lncRNA from 10 species